GAAAUGCGAUAAGUAAUGUGAAUUGCAGAAUUCAGUGAAUCAUCGAAUCUUUGAACGCACAUUGCGCCCGCUAGCACUCUGGCGGGCAUGCCUGUUCGAGCGUCAUUUCAACCCUCAGAACCCCUUGCGGGAUCUGGCGUUGGGGAUUGGCAUCCAGCCAGCCCCGAAAUCUAGUGGCGGUCCCUCCGCGACCUCCCCUGUGCAGUAGCGAUACCUCGCAGCGGGACAGCGGUCUGACCACGCCGUAAAACCCCCAACUUCUCAAGGUUGACCUCGAAUCAGGUAGGAAUACCCGCUGAACUUAAGC
rnacentral:misc_RNA from 1 species